UACGUAGGGGGCAAGCGUUGUCCGGAUUCAUUGGGCGUAAAGAGCGUGUAGGCGGCCAGGUAGGUCGGUUGUGAAAACUGGAGGCUCAACCUUCAGACGUCGACCGAAACCAUCUGGCUAGAGUCCGGGAGAGGAGAGUGGAAGUUCCUGGUGUAGCGGUGAAAUGCGCAGAUAUCAGGAAGAACACCCGUGGCGAAAGCGGCUCUCUGGAACGGUACUGACGCUGAGACGCGAAAGCCGUGGGGGAGCGAACAGG
rnacentral:rRNA from 1 species